UAGCCGUAAACGAUACUCGCUAGGUGUCGGCCACGAUGCGACCGUUGUCGGUGCCGUAGGGAAGCCGUGAAGCGAGCCACCUGGGAAGUACGGCCGCAAGGCUGAAACUUAAAGGAAUUGGCGGGGGGAGCACAACAACGGGUGGAGCUUGCGGUUUAAUUGGAUUCAACGCCGGAAAUCUUACCGGGACCGACAGCAACAUGAAGGCCAAGCUGAAGACUUUGCCGGAUUAGCUGAGAGGUGGUGCAUGGCGUAGUCGUGU
rnacentral:rRNA from 1 species